GUUACAUAUUGUCAUAGUCUUAGCAAUUAAAUACAUAAAGAUGAUCCAAGGCUAUAAUUGUUUUUGAUGAUUAAUAUUGAUUAUCUGAUUAACUAUGGCCACGGAAGGUUGAAGCUCAAGUAUUGAAUUGUUUUGCGUUGUUGAACA